rnacentral:rRNA from 1 species
GGGGAAUAUUGCGCAAUGGGGGGAACCCUGACGCAGCCAUGCCGCGUGAAUGAAGAAGGCCUUCGGGUUGUAAAGUUCUUUCGGUAUUGAGGAAGGUUGAUGUGUUAAUAGCACAUCAAAUUGACGUUAAAUACAGAAGAAGCACCGGCUAACUCCGUGCCAGCAGCCGCGGUAAUACGGAGGGUGCGAGCGUUAAUCGGAAUAACUGGGCGUAAAGGGCACGCAGGCGGUUAUUUAAGUGAGGUGUGAAAGCCCCGGGCUUAACCUGGGAAUUGCAUUUCAGACUGGGUAACUAGAGUACUUUAGGGAGGGGUAGAACUCCACGUGUAGCGGUGAAAUGCGUAGAGAUGUGGAGGAAUACCGAAGGCGAAGGCAGCCCCUUGGGAAUGUACUGACGCUCAUGUGCGAAAGCGUGGGGAGCAAACAGGAUUAGAUACCCUGGUAGUCCACGCUGUAAACGCUGUCGAUUUGGGGGUUGGGGUUUAACUCUGGCGCCCGUAGCUAACGUGAUAAAUCGACCGCCUGGGGAGUACGGCCGCAAGGUUA